UCACCACAGUCUGAUUUUGCCACACCACUGCUUCAGCGCCAUCAGCUGCCUCUGGAUUUUUCUCCGAUCGAUGGGGCAAUGGGGCAAAGGAUGAGGGCAACACUGGCUGGACCAGCAUUUAUUGGCCAUCCCUAAUUGCCCGGGGGGAGUUAAGAUUCAACCACAUUCCUGUGGGUCUGGAGUCACAUCUAGGCCAGACCAGAGAUAGUAAGAGCUGCCAAUGCUGGAGUCAGAGAUAACACAGUGUGGAGCUGGAGGAACGCAGCAGGCCAGGCAGCAUCAGAGGAGCAGGAAAGCUAACGGUUCAGGUCAGGGCCUUCUUCAGAAAUGGCCCCAUGUGUUAUUUCUUAAUUCUAUUUGACACUCCUUUGAUAAUGCAUGAGACCUGGACAACAUCCACACAAGUACUCAUCAAUGACCAUCUCCAACAGGAGAGAAAGUAACCAACUCUCCUUUACAUGCAUUGAAUCUCACACAUUCAACAUUCUAGGGCAUAACAGUGAUCAAUAGCUUAAUUAAGCCAGUCAUAAAAAUACUGUGGCUACAAAAGAAGAUCACAAAACUGGGGAUU